ACGUCAUGGUCUGCAUCAAAAUCACAGCAUAAUAGAAAAUUUAGAGGUCUGGAUCACCUUUUCAUUUUAUAGAGCUUUGACACAACCUAUUUACUUGAUUUACUUAUCACAUGGAUAUUAUUCGAGUUUUCAUCAUAAAGGAUAUCCUCCCAAAUUGAGAAAGUUUUUAGCUUUCUAUCUCCCUUGUAUAUGUUUUUGCAAUGCUUCAAUAUUGCUAUCUUCAGUAAUAACCACUAUUGGAAAUAUUUUGGUUAGUCGGUAAUUUACCUCUAAUUAAUUCUUUAUGAGAUGGAAGAGUCUUUCCUAAAUUUACUGGAGACCAAGAAGGAAAGAAAUCCUAAAACAAGUAGACUCCAAGAAAGCAUUUUGGGAGACCU
rnacentral:lncRNA from 1 species